rnacentral:rRNA from 1 species
AUUGAACGCUGGCGGAAUGCUUUACACAUGCAAGUCGAGCGGCAGCGCGGCCUUCGGGCUGGCGGCGAGCGGCGAACGGGUGAGUAAUGCAUCGGAACAUGCCCAGUCGUGGGGGUUAACACUUCGAAAGAAGUGCUAAUACCGCAUACGUCCUGAGGGGGAAAGCGGGGGAUCGCAAGACCUCGCGCGAUUGGAGUGGCCGAUGUCAGAUUAGCUAGUUGGUGGGGUAAAGGCCUACCAAGGCGACGAUCUGUAGCUGGUCUGAGAGGAUGAUCAGCCACACUGGGACUGAGACACGGCCCAGACUCCUACGGGAGGCAGCAGUGGGGAAUUUUGGACAAUGGGGGCAACCCUGAUCCAGCCAUUCCGCGUGAGUGAAGAAGGCCUUCGGGUUGUAAAGCUCUUUCGGCAGGAACGAAACGGUGGGCUCUAACAUAGUCCGCUAAUGACGGUACCUGAAGAAGAAGCACCGGCUAACUACGUG